rfam:Flavobacteria bacterium BBFL7 scf_1099451317783 genomic scaffold, whole genome shotgun sequence.
UAACCUCUGACGAUCUUCGUGAAUGUUA